rnacentral:rRNA from 1 species
CUACGGGGCGCUGCAGUGAGGAAUAUUGCACAAUGGGGGGAACCCUGAUGCAGCAACGCCGCGUGGAGGAUGACGCAUUUCGGUGUGUAAACUCCUUUUAUAUGUCAAGAAAAUGACGGUAGCAUAUGAAUAAGCACCGGCUAACUCCGUGCCAGCAGCCGCGGUAAUACGGAGGGGUGCAAGCGUUACUCGGAAUCACUGGGCGUAAAGGACGCGUAGGCGGGUUGGAAAGUCAGGUGUGAAAUCCUACAGCUUAACUGUAGAACUGCACUUGAAACUUCUAAUCUAGAGUAUGGGAGGGGGAGAUGGAAUUAGUGGUGUAGGGGUAAAAUCCGUAGAUAUCACUAGGAAUACCUAAAGCGAAGGCGAUCUCCUGGAACAUUACUGACGCUAAGGCGUGAAAGCGUGGGGAGCAAACAGGAUUAGAUACCCCUGUAGUC